UCCGUAGAUUCGAGAAAUUGACCGGUUUGACUCUCGGAAUUGUUAGAGAGAGAAUUGUAAGAGAGAGAUGGAUAAGAAAAAAGUGAAAGUGAGAGGAUGUUGUGUGGUUGAGAUGAGAAGAGAGAGAUUUCGAUGAUUUUCGGAACACAUAAAAGAAAAAGUGAGAUAAUUGGAACAAAUGUUUUAAAUAGUUAAAGUGCCAAAAAAAUUCAUUUUCCUCCAAAGAUUUGUUCUUAGUUAUACUGAAGAUACUAGUGUUACGAAAUUUGGUCAUAGUUUUAUUUUUUUGGUGGUUUUUAAUUUAUUUAGUGUUACUAAUCCUUUUACUUUGGUUUUCUAUUUUUACUUUCGAUUUUAGUACUUUAAAAUGUUAGCCAUAUUUUGUUGUGCAAUAACAUUUUGAUAAAGAUAUAACUCAAAAAAAUUUCUUUGUAAGAAGUUCUUCAUUAAGAAAGUGUAGUUGGAAUUACAAGGUCUUAUAAUGGAUAUAUUACUAGUUUUAAAAAAAAUUCAAAAACAUUUAUUACGUUUCUUAUAAUUAUAAGUAGUAAAGAAACCA
rnacentral:lncRNA from 1 species